GCGAAGAUGGGAAGCUAUUCACGACCCAGCUUGCUGCUGUGUUUGGUCCAUCGUUAAUCCCUUCUCUCGUCUCAUUUUAAUCAUACUGAAUCGAUAUUCCCGUAAGGGCAGACCCACAGCAGCCUCUAUCCGACACGUAUCGACCCUUUUACUGGAUAAAAGAGAAGGGGACGGGUUGGGAAACGGAGGAUCCGGCUUGUCCUUCCUCUGCGCUCAGCACAGUCAAAGGAGAACUUGUCGAUGCGCACCAAGACGCGCAAGAGGACAUGUAUGCGCACCAGAGAGCAACGUUGAACUUCACCCUCUCUGACAGAGCCUAGAUUCAUUUCGAUAUCACUAGUGUAGUAUAUUGCAGUCUGUGCUUGACCAUAUGCAUGGCAGGAGGUUUUGGAUUUAAACAGCAACAAGUGAAAUUGGUAGAGUGCUCUUUCACUGGGACGCUGGUCUGUGCUGACACGUGGAUUGGAUUAAUUAAUGUUGGGGAACGCUGCAUUAAUAUACCACCUCAUCGACAUAUGGACAUUUGAAGAGAUCAACCUGCCGUUUUUCCACGGCGCAUGCUCUGGAGCAGGAGCGGACAGAGCUGGGCACACUGAGGAAUGCGGAGCCGGGAUUGUGUCUUUUCCAGCUCACCCGCGGAACUCUUCGCAGCACAAACCAGUAAGAAUUGCUACGGAUUCUUCUUUGUCGGUGCAUCAUCAGAGACAGGACACCCAGGCUGAACCCACACGGGGUCAGUGAGCUUCAUAACCUUCUCCGUGUCUUUUUAACCCUCCAGCCGGUGAGCACACGGGGCGCAAUGCUAAGGCAGAUCCUCCUCAACUCGACCCACACCCCGGACUUCGACUUGGUCCUCAUGGCCCAGUCCUCUACGCACGCCCCUUCCUCCCUGAACGCCUCCCAUGGGGGGUCUGUGGGCGUGGCCGCUCUCCUGAGACCCACCACUGGGCGAGGAGGACUCCGGGAGGGCGAGCUCCACAAACCGGACCUGAUUACAUACAUAGUCAUGUGCCUGCUGCUCUUCCUGUUGGUGUUGCUCAUUGUGUUCUUCAUCAACUGCCAGCUGCGGAACUCUUUCUUCGCUUCCAUGCCAUAUGACAGGUCACUGAGAGAGGCCCGGACCUCCUACAAGUAAGCUAGACCCCCGGGACAAAUCCCUGGGACUCUGAGGCUGUUGUUGGGGUUUAAGGACUAACAUGGACUAACAAAAUGGUUGCCUUUAGUAGUUGUGUUGAAUACAUUGGAAAGCCUAAAUCAGGGCCAUAAUUAAAGUUUGCCCACAUUUUUCACUUUAAGGCAAAGCACCAACCAGAAAAUGCCCUUCAGCCUGAAGCACCCAUUGCCUGAAAGCUUCAGGCAAUGGGUGCCAUUUCAGAAGAUUAAUGGGGCUUGGGCUUACUUCAGGUGGAAGGAUACCACUAUGACUCCUAAAUCAAUUAGUGACUCAUAUAUGUUCUGGUAAUGACUUAAUAAAAUGUGAAACAAUCCAUCAUCCUCUGCAACCCCCCUCGUGAUGCCACCACUGCACUUUGGAAACACAUUACGUAUUCCUUUAUAGUACACUCUCAAGCUUAUAUUUAUUCAUAUGGCAGCCUACAAAUUCGACCUGGUGUCUGCAAUCUGCAGGUAAAUCACAGUAUUUCAAACAGGCCCGACAAAAUGUGUCUAUUUUUUCCAUGGAAAUAUGGUAACAGAAAGGGUCUACAGCAGAUUGUAUAAUAUUUUGUAUGACUGUAACUUAACUGUCUUGUCUUGUAAAAUUCAGAAAUCAACACAAAAUGUCCCUCCUUCCAUUGUAAAAUGCUGAUUAAAGG